rnacentral:rRNA from 1 species
UACGUAGGGCGCAAGCGUUGUCCGGAAUUAUUGGGCGUAAAGAGCUCGUAGGCGGUCUGUUACGUCCGCUGUGAAAACCCAGGGCUUAACCCUGGGCUUGCAGUGGAUACGGGCAGACUAGAGGCAGGUAGGGGAGAAUGGAAUUCCCGGUGUAGCGGUGAAAUGCGCAGAUAUCGGGAGGAACACCGGUGGCGAAGGCGGCGUCCUGGACCAACACUGACACUGAGGAGCGAAAGCCAGGGGAGCAAACGGG